rnacentral:rRNA from 1 species
AUUGAACGCUGGCGGAAUGCUUUACACAUGCAAGUCGAACGGCAGCACGGACUUCGGUCUGGUGGCGAGUGGCGAACGGGUGAGUAAUACAUCGGAACGUGCCCAGUCGUGGGGGAUAACGUAGCGAAAGCUACGCUAAUACCGCAUACGAUCUAAGGAUGAAAGCGGGGGAUCGCAAGACCUCGCGCGAUUGGAGCGGCCGGUGGCAGAUUAGGUAGUUGGUGGGGUAAAGGCCCACCAAGCCGACGAUCUGUAGCUGGUCUGAGAGGACGACCAGCCACACUGGGACUGGGACACGCCCCAGAGUCCUACGGGAGGCAGCAGUGGGGAAUUUUGGACAAUGGGCGCAAGCCUGAUCCAGCCAUUCCGCGUGCAGGAUGAAGGCCCUCGGGUUGUAAACUGCUUUUGUACGGAACGAAAAGGCUCUGGUUAAUACCUGGGGCUCAUGACGGUACCGUAAGAAUAAGCACCGGCUAACUGCGUGCCAGCCGCCGCCGUAA